rnacentral:misc_RNA from 1 species
AACGCACAUUGCGCCCUCUGGUAUUCCGGGGGGCAUGCCUGUCCGAGCGUCAUUGCAACCCUCAAGCACGGCUUGCGUGUUGGGCGACCGUCCCGUCUUCGGAGGGACGCGCCCGAAAAGCAGUGACGGCGUCGUGAUCCGGUGCCCGAGCGUAUGGGGCUUCGUCUUCCGCUCUUGUGGCCCGGCCGACUGUCCGGUCGAACCAGCUAUAAUUCACUUCUAGUGUUUGACCUCGGAUCAGGUAGGGUUACCCGCUGAACUUAA